CGUAUCAUAACCAAUGAAGUUAAUCUGAGGUAUGAUUAUUGCUAGUUGAAAACUUAUCCUGCCCAGC
rnacentral:snRNA from 1 species